UCGUGGAAGGAUAAAAUGGCACAUUUGCUGGUUAAUGAGACGCGGAUCUUGGGUUAUUGGGUCGGAUCUAUAUUUAUACUCCUUUGGUAAAACACGCGGAUCUUGGUACUUAGCAUUCGGAUCCGUUAUACUCGCGGAUCUCAUCUGAUUGGGCUUCGUGGAUCAUGGUAUUUCUGAUGUUCUCGAAUAUACUCUUUGAGAUCUCCUGAAGUUAAUGCCAUAAUCAAAUUAGAUUCAAUCACUCAAAAGAGAUUUCUAUAACAAACAAAUCCAAUACAAUCUGAUUAGUAAAUAAGGAAUUAUCUCUUCAAAUACGAAUUCAGUUAUUAGAUUUUACCAAACAUAACAAAAUCUAUAUAUUCAAAUACUAACAAACAAGCAUAUACCUUAACAAUCCUUAUUCUUAAAUAUAUUACUUUGAUAUGAUUCUCUAAACCCUAAAAAGGCUAGCCGACCUUGCUUAUUAUAAAUAUAGAAUAUCAAAUGCCAAUGAAGAUACACACUAACCUUUCUUACCGAAAACACUUCUGUUCUUGCUCCUUUAAAGAAAAUGGCUGUAAAUCUUGGUAUCGCCAAUCUUGACGACAUCAAACCCUUCAAAA
rnacentral:lncRNA from 1 species